CAUUUGACGUUAGCUGCAGAAGAAGCUACCGGCUAACUCCGUGCCUAGCAGCCGCGGUAAUACGGAGGGUGCGAGCGUUAAUCGGAAUUACUGGGCGUAAAGCGCUAUGCAGGUGGUUUGUUAAGUCAGAUGUGAAAGCCCGGGGCUCAACCUCGGAAUUGCAUUUGAAACUGGCAAACUAGAGUACUGUAGAGGGGGGUAGAAUUUUCAGGUGUAGCGGUGAAAUGCGUAGAGAUCUGAAGGAAUACCGGUGGCGAAGGCGGCCCCCUGGACAGAUACUGACACUCAGAUGCGAAAGCGUGGGGAGCAAAACAGGAUUAGAUACCCCUGGUAG
rnacentral:rRNA from 1 species